GGGACCCCCGAUGAUUUGGGCCCGGCCGGGGGGCCCGGGGGCCCCAACACCAGGCGGGUUGGGGAAAGACGCUGAACAGCAUGCCGCCGAAUACCGCGGCGCAAUGGCUUCAAAGAUUGGUGAUUCACUGAAUUCUGCAAUUCACAUUACUUAUCGCUUUCGUGCUUCUUCAUCGAUGCCAGAACCAAGGAUCCGUGUGAAAGUUUGAUUAUUUUCUUUCAGCUCAGAGAUACUGAAAAAAUAAGAGUUUUGAACCUCCGGCGGGCGUGCCCGCCGAAGCAACGACAGAGGUUAUGUUCACAGGGUUGGAGUUUUUCAACUCAGUAAUGAUCCUUGAGACCUGCGGAGGGAUCAUUACUGAGUUGAAAAACUCCAACCCCUGUGAACAUAACGUCUGUCGUUGCUUCGGCGGGCACGCCCGCCGGAGGUUCAAAACUCUUAUUUUUUCCAGUAUCUCUGAGCCUGAAAGACAAAUAAUCAAAACUUUCAACAACGGAUCUCUUGGUUCUGGCAUCGAUGAAGAACGCAGCGAAAUGCGAUAAGGAGGGUGGAGGGGAGAAUUGAGUGUAUCAUAGGAUCUCUGACCGCACAUUGCGGCGGGCGGUAUUCGGGUGGGCAUGCCUGUUGGAGCGUCAUUUCAUCCCUCAAGCCUCGGUUUGGCGUUGGGGCGCGCGGUCCUUCCGCGGCCCGGGGCCCCCAAGUUCAUCGGCGGGCUCGUCGGUACACUGAGCGCAGUAAAACGCGGUAAAACGCGAACCUCGUUCGGAUCGUCCCGGCGUGCUCCAGCCGCUAAACCCCCCAAUUUUUAAAGGUUGACCUCGGAUCAGGUAGGAAUACCCGCUGAACUUAAGCAUAUCAAUAAGUCGGAGGAAACUGAGUUGAAAAACUCCAACCCUGUGAACAUAAACUCUGUCGUUGCUUCGGCGGGCACGCCCGCCGGAGGUUCAAAACUCUUAUUUUUUCCAGUAUCUCUGAGCCUGAAAGACAAAUAAUCAAAACUUUCAACAACGGAUCUCUUGGUUCUGGCAUCGAUGAAGAACGCACGAAAUGCGAUAAGUAAUGUGAAUUGCAGAAAUCAUGAAUCAUCAAUCUUUGAAAGCACAUUGCGUGCGGUAUUCGCGGGCAUGACUGUUCAGACGUCAUUCACUCAUACCUCGCUUGUGGUUGGGGGGGCCGGGACCUCUCCGGUCGGGGCCCAGUCAUCGACGGUCGUCGGUACACUGAUGCAGUAAACCAGCGAAAAACGAACUACUUCUGAUAUGUCUCGCAGGGUCUACCCUAACGCUAUUAUUUUGCUGCUCCACGAGUAGAUACGCCUAACUAAUCCAUCAUAGAGGAGGAAGAA
rnacentral:misc_RNA from 1 species